rnacentral:rRNA from 1 species
GGCGAACGCUGGCGGCGUGCUUAACACAUGCAAGUCGAACGGUGAAGCGCCUUCCUUUUUGGUGGGUGUGGAUGAGUGGCGAACGGGUGAGUAACACGUGAGUAACCUGCCCCCUUCUUCUGGAUAACCGCAUGAAAGUGUGGCUAAUACGGGAUAUUCUGGGUCUGUCGCAUGAUGGGUCUGGGAAAGAUAUUGUUUCGGUGGGGGAUGGGCUCGCGGCCUAUCAGCUUGUUGGUGGGGUGAUGGCCUACCAAGGCGGUGACGGGUAGCCGGCCUGAGAGGGUGGACGGUCACACUGGGACGGAGACACGGCCCAGACUCCUACGGGAGGCAGCAGUGGGGAAUAUUGCACAAUGGGCGCAAGCCUGAUGCAGCGACGCCGCGGGAGGGAUGGAGGCCUUCGGGUUGUGAACCUCUUUCGCCAGUGAAGCAGGCCUGCCUCGUUUGUGGGUGGGUUGACGGUAGCUGGAUAAGAAGCGCCGGCUAACUACGUG